AUAGCUUGUUUUGUGUUAUGUACAGCUGCUGUUGAAUUGUGUUAGUAUUGAUCUGUUACACAUUGUGGAUAAUCGUCUGUGAAAUCUGGGUGCUCGUGCCAUGGAGUUGUCAAUCACGAAUAUAACAGUGAACUCUUGGAUGUUUUGAAAUGAAGAAUGCAUGCAAUGUAAGGUGAUAUUGGUCGGCAUUGUGAAAGUAUGAUGUUCUCGUAUGGAGAGACACAGCCUUCAGAAGCUGUAGAGUCUAAGACCCAUACAUUCAAGACCCGGGUAUUCAGGAACCCCCAUAGCUGUGGUUUUUGUAAGGAGAUCAUAUGGAAUGAAGGCAGAAUCUGCAGAGUAUGUAGAUUUGCUUGCCAUAAAAAGUGUGAAUAUAAGGUAAGUG